GCCCCUGUAGCUCAAUGGAUAGAGCAACUGCCUUCUAAGCAGUAGGUCACAGGUUCGAGUCCUGUCGGGGGCGCCA
rnacentral:tRNA from 1 species